CUCCCACUCUCAAUACAAUUAGGGCAACACGCCCACUUUCUCUCCUCUCUAUCAGACAGACUCCCACUCUCAAUACUCUUCAAUAAUGUGAAUUUUUUGCUGCAGAACUUUGAAAUUCGAAGUCGUGUGUUGCUGCUCCGCAAGAUUCUCAGGUGAAAGGAUCAGUUUGACCUUGAACAUAUCAGCAGAUUUACAAUCAUUGUAGAUCAGUUUGGCCAUAUGAAUGUCUGGAUCUCUGGGUGUGUAUUCAUCUUAUGUUUCACUAAUCUAAUCUCUAGGACAUAAUAUAUGUACAUUUGUCAUCCCUGGUCUAAUAUCAUUGAAGUUUGCUAGAGUGUAGAGGAGAGGUGGUCAUAUGGAUGUUGAUGCCACAACUAACACUCUGAAUUUUAGGACGUGGAAAUUGGAAACAGAAUGUAAUACAUAUAUUUACCAGGCUAUUGGUUACCUAUAGCAAUAUCAGAUAGUAAAUUCUAUACCUUCUUGUACAACUUGAUGAACUUUGGCCAAUAGUUAAUUACUGAAAUAAAACAAUUUUAUGCAUUAUAUAACUUUA